GAUCAUGGCUCAGGAUGAACGCUAGCGACAGGCUUAACACAUGCAAGUCGAGGGGCGGCGGGGGUAGCGAUACCCGCCGGCGACCGGCGCACGGGUGAGUAACGCGUAUGCAACUUGCCUAUCAGAGGGGGAUAACCCGGCGAAAGUCGGACUAAUACCGCAUGAAGCAGGGAUCCCGCAUGGGGAUAUUUGCUAAAGAUUCAUCGCUGAUAGAUAGGCAUGCGUUCCAUUAGG
rnacentral:rRNA from 1 species